rnacentral:lncRNA from 1 species
GUAGGUAGAACCUUCAGAUCCCCAUGGAACAACUGCAGGAAGUGAUGUUAACAUUCUAGGAUUCAGAAUCAGACUGUUCCAGCCCUCUGACCUAAUCCACUGAGGGUCAACCUCAGCCUAGAGCCAACACCAAGGAGCGAGGCUGUGACCAAAAAUAUUCCAAAGCUGGGGGCAGUGUGUCAAUUACCAAUGGAAAAACCAUCGAGUUCCUCAGCUUCUGAGAGGCUCAGGAGUCACCACUCUGAGAGAAGAGUGAGCCACAGUUGCAGUGGGAGGCACAGCAGCCACGACUCAACUAACCAACAGCAUCAGACCCAGAGGAAAUGCCGGGGGCCAACACUGUAUUCCCAGAAACAAACUCAGGAGAGACCGACCAUAAACACCAGAUCAGGGGACCAAGCUAAAUACAAUCAACACAAUCGAUGUGAACAGGAGGCAAUAGGACCGUUGCCUGACAAGAGACCUCGACAUUAUCACCCCCGAAGAUCAGGAUCGAGGAAAAACAAGGGCAGAACUUCGCACAAGAGAAAUUCCAAGAAAAGGUCAAGAGGAAGAGGCCGAAAAUAGGAACAGAGGAAAAGAGCCAUGUGAAAAAAAAAUACACCUCUUAGGGUCUCCUGAUUCCCUUGACCUCUCCUCCCUCCCCACUAAUGAACAAAAAGACUGUGGGGCUGAGGGAAAGUUUGUUUUGACAUAAUUAAAAAGACCCUAAAUCUUCCCCCUUCUUUUAUUUUAAA